GGCCAUAUUCGGCCCUUUAAUUGAUUUCGGACUCAGUAUGUUACAGAUCUGAAAUUUCUCAAUCAAUGAUGCGACAGCCCAGACCAGCCCUAAUGAUUGGCCCAAUGUGACAACGGACGAGGAGGCAGAAAUCCAAAUUGAAUGAAUGGGUCUUUGGCUUGAAAUUGGCUGACCGGUUACCAGGUCCAGGUCUUACGCUUCACGAAUUUGUUGCUGUCAGACGAACAAGCCUCCUCUAGUUAUGGGGAGACCUGAUGGCUUGCCCCCCUGUGGUUGAGGAUUAAUUAAAAACACGGAGACGCUUCGCUGACUGGUGAAUACCCUUAUUCGCCGUCUGACCGGGUCAAUCAUAUGGCAGGGUCGACAACGACACUCUCAAGCCCUCUCUUUUGCCAAAAGAGACACACAAUUUGUUCAACCAAUCGUCAAAUUAAUUACCAGCUGGUGGGCCGCAAUAAAAUAAGAACAGGUCCGCUGGCGUCUUUGAUGUGUUGGUCUCGUGCAGAGCUUCCACGACUUCAGCUGAUGUCGUCCGUAAUGAUUACAGCUGACGGUUGCAACAUCCACUUCAUAUGGGAAUCACGGAGUAGGAGACGAAUCCAGAAUGACCAUGGAUCCUUGUUGUAGCUCGAAUAUCUUGCACAUUCGGUGGAAUGCAACGCCUGAAAUUCGAGGUGGCAUUGCGGGAGGCUAAACACUAGUGAAACAUGGUGGCGUGUUUGCAAUACUUUUCAUGCAUCGGCCAGUCGGCCCAGGGUCUAGAUUGGUAGAUGUUAUUGUGGUCACGAUGUCGGAAAGAGAAGAUUCAACAUCUUUAAGAGAGGUGGUUUGAUUCCGUUGUCUGAUUGUCUCGUAAACCAUAGAGUCUUAAAUAUCGUGAUGGAUGAUCGUCCUCAGCCCCACAUAGCAUAAUCAGAUUGAAGCAGCACUAAGUCCGAGGUACAAUUCCUCCGAGAGACUAAAAAAGCAGUGCAGGAUGGCGAGAUGGUGGUAUAGCCGACCCAAGUUGAUAGUGCACCAGACGUUGUGACAGUAUCACACAUACACAUGGAACAGUUCAAAUAACAAGUCUUUCUGACCAUUGUUACAAUCUUCUAAUAAGUACUGUGGUCGAAGAAAGCUCAACAAGUAUCGUAGCAAAAGACGCCUCAUAGUCGAAGUCCUGUAUCGACCGUGAUAGACUUCAGAUUUCACAAACGUUGAAUCCUACAUGAACAAAGCGCUCGCCUCCAUUCAACUUCUUGUGAUCAAAACUGUAUCCUUCUUGAUAGACAUGAGUCGUGGGCAAUCUUUUAGGCUGAAUCUGCAUAGAAGUGGAAACGGCAUAUGAUUAUAGGCAAUCUGAGUGUGCCAACGUCGACUACUGCUCGCAUCAAUGGGUAAAUUGACUGAUGAUGCUAGCAACCCUUGUCUAUAGGGUUAGUGUUAGGGUUAGAGUGGUACAAGCUUCGGCAUCUCUCGGUUUGCCGGAGUUGGCUAUUGACGGCCUUAGGUACAAAGGCCGUCACGCAUGAUUCUCGUUACUAAUCCUGAGGAGUACUUCAUGCCGAGGACCUGUCGUGUGAUGCGUCGAAUGGAUAUCCAAUUUUGCAAAUCCAUAUAACGAGUAGUCGCAGUAUCGAGGAUGUUGAGAGCUGCCAGAAGCUGAAGCUCUUGGUGGGGGGUUUGGGUAUGCUUCAGGGGCCGAUUCUCAAGAUAGAAUUGCUACAAAAGCUAGGUAGAAUCCUCUCUUGUUAAUACGUGUAUACGUAUAUGCAGUUAUGAAAGCAGCAGUUAGUAAUCAAUUUUUUUUUCGAAAUACUCAACAGAAUC
rnacentral:lncRNA from 1 species